GUUUUUUUCCUUGUAAAUUUGUUUAAGUUUCUUGUAGAUUCUGGAUAUUAGCCUUCUGUCAGAUGGAUAGAUUAAAGCUUGCAAGCUGAAACUCAACAACUUAUGUAAACUUCUGGAGAAAUCACAGCAACUUACAUAUAAACAACCCUUGUGCCUGCUGAUGUGUGGACUACAGAAAAGGUACACAUGAACACUGUAUUCAGACUGCAAUUUAGAGAAAUGUGUCAGAUUACCACUGCAAUUGGAAGAUGCUUCAGAAACUCUAGAAAACCUAGUCUAUAGACUGCUCCAGACAUUACAGGGUUCACUCUCAAGCUCUGGCUCAAUAAAACUCAAUUGGUCAAGACCCUUGCCUCAGUCAGUCUUUCUGGAUAUCCACCAUGAGUCCUGCAAAGCCCUUCAGUAAUCUAUUGCCUGCCUAGGUGAUGUGUACCCAGGUGAGUCAGGUCUUCAUGAGUCAAACACUCGUCUUCCUUUUCUGUCUUUCCCAACCCUACCACUCAGUGCUGUGUGCUCUGAUCUGACCCCAGCUCCCAGGUUGUUUGUAUUGGUCUAAGAAAGCAAGACCAGGAGGGGCAGGUUGAGAAGGAAGUAAGAGGCCAACAGCCAUGGAAAGUGGCACGUGGGGCUGUCAUUCCUCAAAACCACAUACCCUGGGUGCAUUUUGUGAAUUUUUCUGGAUUCAGAAUCUUUUCCCUGUGUGUCUAUCUAGAAAAUCACCCUCCUCCUACUUUCCUCUCAUUACACUUUCUGUUUCUGGUGCAAUCGUUUAUGUCCAGAGAAUGGCCAUGCAAAUAGUUGACAAUAGAAUAAAAAAUGACUUUUUGUGAGAUUUGGAACCUGGCCUUUCUUUUUUCCAAAAGAGAUUGAGGUUUCUAAAAGCUAGCUUUUAUGCAGGGCUGUGCAGUUGUGAGUGUAGUUUUAGGGAACAGGUGCAUAAGUGAAGGGUGAGACAGAAAACAAAAUGCUGGCUGUUUGUCAAAUCCUGAAAAUAAUUUUUGAAGGUGGAUGUCAUUCAGGAGACCUUGUAAAUCUUAGAGUGUCCUCUUACCAGAUGAAGUGGAGGAUGAGGUUGAAUUAUGGAGUUAGGUGACAGUGGGUACAUACUUCUCUGCCUCAGUUUUUUUUUUUAAUCUGUAAAAAUGGGGAUGGAGGCACUUGGGAUUUUUUGUGAGGAGUGUAGUUACCUGGAAAGCUCUUACGAUAGUGCCUCGUGCAUAGUGAGUGCUGCAUUAGUGUGAGCUAUUAUAAUUAUGGGAAUAGACAAAGGUGCCACCCUGGCCAUCCAGAGUGGGGAGGUAUUUUCCAGUCAGGGUCCAGGCAGGCCAGCUGGAGAUGAAGCUGAUUAGUGGGGAAGCUUAACUUCCAGGAGUGGAAGAAUUUAGGAGGAGUAAACAGAAUGCACAACAUUCUGUAAACAUGCCUUUACCCAACAGUAGGAAUACUCAGAGUGGGUGUGUCUUCCGUGGCAAUCAUUAUCUCCUGGGAAUCUAAGAAUGUGUCCUAGAGUCAAAUGGCUUUGAUGUAAGCCAAACCCAGAAAUGGACUUCAGGGCUGCCUGGCACAUAGCAUUCAUUCAUCUUGAAAAAGGAAAGCAUUCAUCUUGCUAAAGGAAUCCCCUCUUCUGGCCCAGGCCAUUAUUUUUGUUUUUGUACUAUCCUAAUUUUUAAGAUGUAAGGAGAAAGACC
rnacentral:lncRNA from 1 species